AAUUUUUUGAGCAGUAGUUACUAGAGACACAAGCCAUUGGGGUUGGGAAGCCCACCUCCAAGACAGCUUUGCACAAGGGAAAUAGGACUUUCCUUCAAUUAACAUUCCAUCCAACCUUCUGGAACUCAUGGCGGUUCUACAAAAACUGAAACAUUUCUCUCCUCAGCUUCAGUCAUCAAGGAGAUACCAGAAGUCACAGGAUGGUGAACAUUACGAGGCAGCAGAUGUC